rnacentral:lncRNA from 1 species
UCUUAUAAGUACGAUCGCCUUCGAAUUCAUAAGUUGUUUUUGAUGAUAGAGCUUUCGAAUCGAUGAUCCAUAUCGUUAAACAUUAUCUAGAACAUUUAAAAUUUCUAAAAAUCAAAUUUUAUAAUUUUUUGAUAUCAUUUACCUUACGAUCAAAAGCUUACAAAAUUAACAAUUUUUAACGGCCGGUAUAAGAUAUUUGCUAGUUUAACGGUGAAAAAAAUCGGAAUUGGUUGAAUUUUGAUAGAAAAUUCUAUUCACUAUGUAAAUAAAGAUCAAUAACUUCGAUCUUAAAUUAAAGAAUCUGAUCAUCCAUUUUCAGGAUGUCGUUCGAUUUUAACUGUUCAUUUUAUACCCGCUUUAUGGAUU